AUGCCUCCUCUGCCCCCAAACGACGGUGAUUCCACCCGCGUCCUCCUCUGUCUCUCUGCACAUGUCGCCGCUUCACGCCUCCUCCUCUCCCUCCUCCCCACACUCACGGUCGCCUCUCCCGAUAGAUCUGGUGCCAGGGUUCGUGGCGCCGGCGGACGGGGGAGCGGAGACGUGCCGGGGGAGGAGUCGAUGCGUGCAUGGUGGGCGGAGGGGAGGAUGGGGAAUCCGUGUGGCGGCCUCGACGAGCAGAUCGAGCAGCUCCUGCAGUGCAAGCCCCUCGUCGAGCACGAGGUUCGGCCUUCCUAA
rnacentral:rRNA from 1 species